GGUUAAGCGACUAAGCGUACACGGUGGAUGCCCUGGCAGUCAGAGGCGAUGAAGGACGUGCUAAUCUGCGAAAAGCGUCGGUAAGGUGAUAUGAACCGUUACAGCCGGCGAUGUCCGAAUGGGGAAACCCAGUGCAAUUCGUUGCACUAUCGUUAACUGAAUACAUAGGUUAACGAGGCGAACCGGGGGAACUGAAACAUCUAAGUACCCCGAGGAAAAGAAAUCAACCGAGAUUCCCCCAGUAGCGGCGAGCGAACGGGGAGCAGCCCAGAGUCUGAAUCAGCUUGUGUGUUAGUGGAACGGUCUGGAAAGUCCGACGGUACAGGGUGAUAGUCCCGUACACCAAAAUGCACAGGUUGUGAACUCGAAGAGUAGGGCGGGACACGUGGUAUCCUGUCUGAAUAUGGGGGGACCAUCCUCCAAGGCUAAAUACUCCUGACUGACCGAUAGUGAACCAGUACCGUGAGGGAAAGGCGAAAAGAACCCCGGCGAGGGGAGUGAAAAAGAACCUGAAACCGUGUACGUACAAGCAGUGGGAGCCUCUUUAUGGGGUGACUGCGUACCUUUUGUAUAAUGGGUCAGCGACUUAUAUUCUGUAGCAAGGUUAACCGUAUAGGGGAGCCGCAGGGAAACCGAGUCUUAACUGGGCGUUAAGUUGCAGGGUAUAGACCCGAAACCCGGUGAUCUAGCCAUGGGCAGGUUGAAGGUUGGGUAACACUAACUGGAGGACCGAACCGACUAAUGUUGAAAAAUUAGCGGAUGACUUGUGGCUGGGGGUGAAAGGCCAAUCAAACCGGGAGAUAGCUGGUUCUCCCCGAAAGCUAUUUAGGUAGCGCCUCGUGAACUCAUCUUCGGGGGUAGAGCACUGUUUCGGCUAGGGGGUCAUCCCGACUUACCAACCCGAUGCAAACUACGAAUACCGAAGAAUGUUAUCACGGGAGACACACGGCGGGUGCUAACGUCCGUCGUGAAGAGGGAAACAACCCAGACCGCCAGCUAAGGUCCCAAAGUCAUGGUUAAGUGGGAAACGAUGUGGGAAGGCACAGACAGCCAGGAUGUUGGCUUAGAAGCAGCCAUCAUUUAAAGAAAGCGUAAUAGCUCACUGGUCGAGUCGGCCUGCGCGGAAGAUGUAACGGGGCUAAACCAUGCACCGAAGCUGCGGCAGCGACACUAUGUGUUGUUGGGUAGGGGAGCGUUCUGUAAGCCUGCGAAGGUGGCCUGUGAGGGUUGCUGGAGGUAUCAGAAGUGCGAAUGCUGACAUAAGUAACGAUAAAGCGGGUGAAAAGCCCGCUCGCCGGAAGACCAAGGGUUCCUGUCCAACGUUAAUCGGGGCAGGGUGAGUCGACCCCUAAGGCGAGGCCGAAAGGCGUAGUCGAUGGGAAACAGGUUAAUAUUCCUGUACUUGGUGUUACUGCGAAGGGGGGACGGAGAAGGCUAUGUUAGCCGGGCGACGGUUGUCCCGGUUUAAGCAUGUAGGCGGAGGUUCCAGGUAAAUCCGGUACCUUUUAACGCUGAGGUGUGAUGACGAGGCACUACGGUGCUGAAGUAACAAAUGCCCUGCUUCCAGGAAAAGCCUCUAAGCAUCAGGUAACAUUAAAUCGUACCCCAAACCGACACAGGUGGUCAGGUAGAGAAUACCAAGGCGCUUGAGAGAACUCGGGUGAAGGAACUAGGCAAAAUGGUGCCGUAACUUCGGGAGAAGGCACGCUGAUAUGUAGGUGAAGUCCCUGCGGAUGGAGCUGAAAUCAGUCGAAGAUACCAGCUGGCUGCAACUGUUUAUUAAAAACACAGCACUGUGCAAACACGAAAGUGGACGUAUACGGUGUGACGCCUGCCCGGUGCCGGAAGGUUAAUUGAUGGGGUUAUCCGUAAGGAGAAGCUCUUGAUCGAAGCCCCGGUAAACGGCGGCCGUAACUAUAACGGUCCUAAGGUAGCGAAAUUCCUUGUCGGGUAAGUUCCGACCUGCACGAAUGGCGUAAUGAUGGCCAGGCUGUCUCCACCCGAGACUCAGUGAAAUUGAACUCGCUGUGAAGAUGCAGUGUACCCGCGGCAAGACGGAAAGACCCCGUGAACCUUUACUAUAGCUUGACACUGAACAUUGAGCCUUGAUGUGUAGGAUAGGUGGGAGGCUUUGAAGCGUGGACGCCAGUCUGCGUGGAGCCAACCUUGAAAUACCACCCUUUAAUGUUUGAUGUUCUAACGUAGACCCCUAAUCGGGGUUGCGGACAGUGUCUGGUGGGUAGUUUGACUGGGGCGGUCUCCUCCCAAAGAGUAACGGAGGAGCACGAAGGUUAGCUAAUCCUGGUCGGACAUCAGGAGGUUAGUGCAAUGGCAUAAGCUAGCUUGACUGCGAGCGUGACGGCGCGAGCAGGUGCGAAAGCAGGUCAUAGUGAUCCGGUGGUUCUGAAUGGAAGGGCCAUCGCUCAACGGAUAAAAGGUACUCCGGGGAUAACAGGCUGAUACCGCCCAAGAGUUCAUAUCGACGGCGGUGUUUGGCACCUCGAUGUCGGCUCAUCACAUCCUGGGGCUGAAGUAGGUCCCAAGGGUAUGGCUGUUCGCCAUUUAAAGUGGUACGCGAGCUGGGUUUAGAACGUCGUGAGACAGUUCGGUCCCUAUCUGCCGUGGGCGCUGGAGAAUUGAGGGGGGCUGCUCCUAGUACGAGAGGACCGGAGUGGACGCAUCACUGGUGUUCGGGUUGUCAUGCCAAUGGCAUUGCCCGGUAGCUAAAUGCGGAAGAGAUAAGUGCUGAAAGCAUCUAAGCACGAAACUUGCCCCGAGAUGAGUUCUCCCUGAGACUAUAAGUCUCCUGAAGGAACGUUGAAGACGACGACGUUGAUAGGCCGGGUGUGUAAGCGCAGCGAUGCGUUGAGCUAACCGGUACUAAUGAACCGUGAGGCUUAACCUU
rnacentral:rRNA from 1 species